rnacentral:other from 1 species
CGUCCACCGGGUGUCGGUGGGUUGGCGAGUCCUUGAACCGAUUUAAGUGUAAGCCGGAUUCCCCGCGUCAGGGCCAGUGUGCAUGUCCGCAAGACGGAAAGCCUUAGGCUUUGCAGGGGUUUCCACCUUGAACCUUCGGGUUCAAGGCAGUGCCAGCCUGCCGCAUCUGGUGGAUCC